GUUAUUCACAAUGAUGGGGAUAGGCAAGGCGAUUACAAGUACACCACAAAUAGAACACAUACAUCCGAUAAAUUUUCCGAGAGGAGAUUGUGGUGUCACGUCGCCGUAGCCAAC
rnacentral:sRNA from 1 species